CCUACGUGUGGCAGCAGUGGGGAAUAUUGCACAAUGGGGGAAACCCUGAUGCAGCAACGCCGCGUGAGUGAUGACGGCCUUCGGGUUGUAAAGCUCUGUCUUCAGGGACGAUACUGACGGUACCUGAGGAGGAAGCCACGGCUAACUACGUGCCAGCAGCCGGGUAAUACGUAGGUGACGAGCGUGGUCCGGAUUUACUGGGCGUAAGGGGAGCGUAGGCGGACGUUGAAGUGAGAUGUUAAAUACUCGGUCUCAACUUGGGUGCUGCAUUUCAAACUGGAGGGCUAGAGUGCAGGAGAGGAGAAUGGAAUUCCUAGUGUAGCGGUGAAAUGCGUAGAUAUUAGGAAGAACACCAGUGGCGAAGGCGAUUCACUGGACUGUAACUGACGCUGAGGCUCGAAAGCGUGGGGAGCAAACAGGAUUAGAUACCCGUGUAGUC
rnacentral:rRNA from 1 species